GAUGAACGCUAGCGGGAGGCUUAACACAUGCAAGUCGAGGGGCAGCACGGGGUAGCAAUACUCUGGUGGCGACCGGCAAACGGGUGAGUAACGCGUAUGUAACCUACCCUGUACAGGGGGAUAACCCGGAGAAAUUCGGACUAAUAUCCCAUAACAAUAUUCAGAGGCAUCUUUGGAUAUUUAAAGUUCCGGCGGUACGGGAUGGGCGUGCGUAACAUUAGCUAGUUGGUAAGGUAACGGCCUACCAAGGCUUUGAUGUUUAGGGGUCCUGAGAGGGUGGUCCCCCACACUGGUACUGAGACACGGACCAGACUCCUACGGGAGGCAGCAGUGAGGAAUAUUGGUCAAUGGGCGCAAGCCUGAACCAGCCAUCCCGCGUGCAGGAAGACGGCCCUAUGGGUUGUAAACUGCUUUUCCAGGGAGAGAAACUUGCGCACGUGUUGCGCAAUUGACGGUACCCUGGGAAUAAGCAUCGGCUAACUCCGUGCCAGCAGCCGCGGUAAUCAUACCGUA
rnacentral:rRNA from 1 species